rnacentral:rRNA from 1 species
GAUCCUGGCUCAGGAUGAACGCUAGCUACAGGCUUAACACAUGCAAGUCGAGGGGAAACGGGAAAGCAGCUUGCUGCUUUUUGUCGUCGACCGGCGCACGGGUGAGUAACGCGUAUCCAACCUUCCCAUAACAAAGGGAUACUCCGUAGAAAUGCGGUCUAAUACCUUAUGUUCUCUUUAUUAGGCAUCUUUUAUAGAGCAAAGAAUUUCGGUUAUGGAUGGGGAUGCGUCUGAUUAGCUUGUUGGCGGGGG